CAGCCGCCGCGGGAAUACGAAGGGUGCAAGCGUUACUCGGAAUUACUGGGCGUAAAGCGUGCGUAGGUGGUGGUUUAAGUCCGUUGUGAAAGCCCUGGGCUCAACCUGGGAAUUGCAGUGGAUACUGGGUCACUAGAGUGUGGUAGAGGAUAGUGGAAUUUCCGGUGUAGCAGUGAAAUGCGUAGAGAUCGGAAGGAACAUCUGUGGCGAAGGCGACUAUCUGGGCCAACACUGACACUGAGGCACGAAAGCGUGGGGAGCAAACAGGAUUAGAGACCCGUGUAGUCCCUGUCUCUUAUAA
rnacentral:rRNA from 1 species